rfam:Aureobasidium pullulans var. melanogenum CBS 110374 unplaced genomic scaffold scaffold_39, whole genome shotgun sequence.
GGGAUGAUGGCACAGGGGUAAUGCGCCCCCUUCGCAUGGGGGAGAUCCAGGGUUCGAUUCCCUGUCAUUCCA